rnacentral:pre_miRNA from 1 species
UUAGUACUCCCUCCGUCUGAAAAAGCUUGUCCCUCAAAUGAAUGUAUCUAGCACCAAGUUAGUGCUAGAUACAUCCAUUUGAGGGACAAACUUGGGACAAGCUUUUUCGGACGGAGGGAGUAUGUG